rnacentral:lncRNA from 1 species
AUUAUUCUCCUUCCUUAAUUUUGUGACAGAUUCACAUGAACGACGAGGUAGGAUAUAUUUGAUAUAGAUAAACUAUUUUUCCUUAUUACCUUUAUACAAUGACUCAUACACAUAAUCGAUGAGGUAGACUAUAGUUUUUAUAAUAAUAGUUAAACAGGGAAAACCCAUCACAUUUACAGUGAUGCUUUCUUACAACACAGUCGGGUCUUGGUAGAAGACUACUUUCAUACUAGUAGGAAAUAUAGGAUUUUCUAAGGUUUUCAAACGUUUACAAUUACUUACAAACAUUUUCAUACUUUUUUCCAAAAGUUUACAAGUCUUUACUUUACAGUAUUUACAAAUCAAAGACACAUUAAUACUUGUGAAUUCACAAGCUUUAUUGCUGAUACUCUUUUUCAAAAUAACUUGUAUUCUCAGGUCACAAAUUGACCGGUACGAUGACCAGGUUUUGUGAAUACGGAGAAAUCAAGACUCCUCUUUUAUUUUGAUUAUUUAUUAUGUUGUGUUCUGGUAGUUUCCGUGAUCGAUAAUAGAUUGUGCCAGUUCUUUAGCGUUGUCAAAAGUAACAAGCCUUGAUGCUAACACACUUGACUUAAUCUGGGGAGACAAUCCCCAAAUAUAUCUCUUUAUUUUCUUGCUUUCAAGAGCAACCAUAUCCAGGAAAAGAAUUGCAAGAUCACAUAAUCUAUUAGUACAAGUUGAUACGUCAGAAUCAACCAUCUUAAGAUUCUAGAGUUUCUGCUCGAGUUUUUGAAUUUCCCCUCGUGGGUAGUACUCUCUCAUCAACAUGGCUUUCAAGUUCUCCCAGCUUAUCGAAUUUGCCACAAUUAAAGUCAAUGACUUAACGUGGCCAUUCUACCAAGUUAAGGCCCUGUCAGAAAAGGUACAAGUAGCAAACUUGACCUUGUUGUUCUCUGGGCAGGUGCAGAUUUUAGAGACUACUUCCGUCUUUUCUAUCCAUGCCUUAAAAUCAUCACCCCUCCAGUUCCAUUGAAAUUCCGGAGUUUGGCAUUUGUAAAAUCUUUAUAGGUGCAUUCUCGGGGGUGCCCAUGACUCUCGCCAUGGUUGGAAAGAGGUGCACCAAUUCCCGAUCCACUAGGGACAGGAGUAUUGAUGUGUGACAUGGCAGCCACUACGGUCGUCGUGACAACCGCUUGGAACAUAGCAACGUCGAACUGAGGAGGUGGUCGCGGUGGUGGUCGUAUCGGUGUUUCGUUGUUAUUGUUACGUCUUAGAUUUCUGCGAAGAGGCAUCUUUUAACUUCAAGUUUAAAAGAUAGAAACAAUGAUAAAAAUCCAAUAGUACAGAAAAUGAAAGUGUCUUGUGAACUAAGUCACCAUAGUUCGAUAUCAAAUGAGAGCAUGAAUUCCUGAAUAGAUUAGAUAACUGCCGAAAUUACUGGUAUAUAAGAUGUAAAUAAGUUCGGGAAAAUGACCUAACUAUAGGUCUUACAUCAUACCAUAAGGGAAAUGUUGACAAUUUAAAGUCUAAUAAAGUACUUGAGAGACAGGAAUAUUUACAGAAAAGUGCUUCAUAGAGCACAGAUUCGAAAGGCUAUUAUUUAAAAUAAAAGAAAAGGUGAGUCAAACAUCUUCUACCGGCGACAGGUAUUCCUCGAACGAACCCUCAAAUCUGCCAGUUAACGUACUACGUCUUGAAGAUGUCGCUCAUGAGCUCUCUGACACACUCGAAACUCUAUAACCUCAGCGUGGGAUGCAGCUAGUUGUUGCUGUAGAGUCUCAUUGGUCCUCCUAGUCCUUUCCAUGGCUUCUUCGAGUUGGCGAAUGCGGAUAGUGUUAACGCCAGAGUUAGUGUCAAUUUCCAUGACUAGAUCGAUAGCUACUCCACCUUGCUCAAUAUUCCGAGCAAUCCUGCGGACCAUAAUAGGCAGGGCUCGGUUAACAGAGCCUCCUUCGCUGAGAUUGUAAAAGCUUCGGUCUCCAUUUAAGGGUAAUAGUUGACCCUGCUCAUCACUCCAGCAAUUCAAGUUUGUUGCCCAUAAGGGUGUGGGAUCUUCAAAUGCAGGUCGGGGGUUGAGAUUUGGGUUCUAAACUACUUUAGGUAGGUUGUUGACUUCUGUUUUGGAGUUAGAACCAUCCGAAAAGUCUUAUGCGAGGUGAUCAUCCAAAUGGAUUGGAUGGUCAUCUCCUGACUCUCCAUUUAGCCAUCCAACAUUGCCCUGAUUUGGGAAGUACGAGUCUCCAGGGAUAUGAAAUCCAGCCAUGUUAUCUAUGUGAGAAGUAGGGGUAAAAGAAUCAGUUUAAGAGACGUACUAACUAAGAUAAUUAUAGUACCACAAAAUACUCCUAUAGUAUUUUAAGUUUAUGUUUUGUUCUAAUGUUCUCAUUGUAGUAGUGUUGGUAAGUUUUUAGACUUGUUGUCAUACCACAACCAUUCCUGGGCAUAUGCUAAUCACUUCUCAGAUCAGCAUAGUUGAUCAGGCUAUCCCACUCCCAUAACUGACCAUACAUCCCCAAGCCUAUUUGUGAUAUUCAACAAUCGGAAUACUUUUGUUCUGUCCUAGUGACACUGAUUUUAGUAUGAAUGCAAGUAUGUAUACUUCGUUAAAUAUUUUAUUAUUUAAAAUUAUAAACUCUUUGGCAGAGUACUUUAAUCCCAUUGUGUUUAUAGUUACUAUAUCUUUUAUGGGUUGAUAUACUCAAUUCACUAUANUCCGGUUAUACUCAUACAUUACUAGUAACUAUAAUAGGUAUAGUUAGGAGAUACUACUUACAAUUCCAAGUAUAAGGAAUCACACAAGAGUCAGUUCAUUCAUGAGCCUAUACUAAUACAUUACAUGUUACAUGAAUACGUUUAGAUAUAUACGCUUACAUGAAUAUGUUUACAUAGAUACGCUUACAUGAGUACAUUUACAUAGAUACGCUUACAUGAAUAUGUUUACAUAGAUACACUUACAUGAGUACAAUUACAUAGAUAUGCUUACAUGAAUACGUUUACAUGGAUACGUUUAUAGAGAAACGCUUACAUGAACGCGUCUACAUUAAUACGUUUAAUAGAUACUAUUACAUAGGAUCUGUUACAAAUGUUUUGGGACUUACCAUUCCACACCCAAAGCUGUUAGCUACAGUAGGGAAAAGGAGCGUCGACGGGUGUCCACGAUUGUAAUGUCCGGCGAGUUUCCACGCUGUGAAUAUCCUAAUGCAAAAGGAUACAUCUUUAGUUAUUAUAUUAUUCUCCUUCCUUAAUUUUGUGACAGAUUCACAUGAACGACGAGGUAGGAUAUAUUUGAUAUAGAUAAACUAUUUUUCCUUAUUACCUUUAUACAAUGACUCAUACACAUAAUCGAUGAGGUAGACUAUAGUUUUUAUAAUAAUAGUUAAACAGGGAAAACCCAUCACAUUUACAGUGAUGCUUUCUUACAACACAGUCGGGUCUUGGUAGAAGACUACUUUCAAAACAGCCGAGUCUUGGUAGAAGACUACUUUCAUAC